rnacentral:pre_miRNA from 1 species
AUCAUACUCCCUCCGUUCAGAAUUACUUGUCGCAGAAAUGGAUGUAUCUAGACAUAUUUUAGUUCUAGAUACAUCCAUUUCCGAGACAAGUAAUUCCGAACGGAGGGAGUGGAUA